UACGUAGGGGGCAAGCGUUGUCCGGAAUUAUUGGGCGUAAAGCGCGCGCAGGCGGUUCUUUAAGUCUGGUGUCUAAGUGCGGGGCUCAACCCCGUGAUGCACUGGAAACUGGGGAACUUGAGUGCAGAAGAGGAGAGCGGAAUUCCACGUGUAGCGGUGAAAUGCGUAGAGAUGUGGAGGAACACCAGUGGCGAAGGCGGCUCACUGGACCGGUUCUGACGCUGAGGCGCGAAAGCGUGGGAGCAACGGG
rnacentral:rRNA from 1 species